UCUUCAUUAAUCUCCCACACAACCAUGAAAAGCAACACAUUUACUUUACGGUUUAUAAUUUUUCUAUUUUAAAGCAGAAUCACUUUUUUUUAAUCAAAUUUUUGUUGGUCUCUUAAUCAAAUAGUCCAAAGCUCAGAAAAAUCGAAUCCAAUAAAACACCCGGCCCAAAAAAUUGGAAGCUGAAAAGUUUCCAAAAUUUACUAUUAAUUAAAAGGGCUAACACAAGAGUACCAAGUACUCUUCUUUGAAGCUCAUAGCCGUCUGCAAAAAUGUUACCGGAGUGCUGCUGUUGGAACUCCUGUGGGUGUUGUUUCAAUUGAUUCCAUGGUUGCUCUUGGUGUUACUCUGCCUAUCUGCUUCACUCAUAUCAGGUGGUCAUGGACUUAUUGCAUGAUCAGAUUCUCUCCAGUUCACCCAGAUGUGAAGAUCUGAAUCCUCUUCAUCUGGUGGUUGAAGAUGCUGGAUCUCUGUCCCAUUUUUUGGGUGAAGAAUUUUGAGAGCUAGGGUAGUACUUCUAGCUUUGCUUAGAACAGAUGUAAUAUCUUCUUCCGGGCAUACUCUAAAACUUAUUUUUCUGUGUUGUUUAUUCACCAUACCUCUUGCAUGUUGACUUGUGACUGAUGCUGCUGAUGUUGUAUUAUGUAUAUAUCUGUUGUUUCCUUUCCUCA